GCCUGUGUGGUGUAGUGGUUUCAGCAUUGGGCUACAACUCUGGAAAUCAGGAUUCAAUUCCCUGCUUGGCCA